rnacentral:rRNA from 1 species
GAUGAACGCUGGCGGCAUGCCUAACACAUGCAAGUCGAACGGCAGCACAGUAAAGACUUCGGUCUUUAUGGGUGGCGAGUGGCGGACGGGUGAGUAACGCGUAGGAAUCUGUCCUGGAGAGUGGGAUAACCCGAGGAAACUCGGGCUAAUACCGCAUGAUAUCGAGAGAUCAAAGGCAGGGGACCCUUCGGGGCCUUGCGCUCUAGGUUGAGCCUACGUCGGAUUAGCUAGUUGGUGGGGUAAAGGCCUACCAAGGCGACGAUCCGUAGCUGGUCUGAGAGGAUGACCAGCCACACUGGGACUGAGACACGGCCCAGACUCCUACGGGAGGCAGCAGUGGGGAAUCUUGGACAAUGGGGGAAACCCUGAUCCAGCGAUGCCGCGUGUGUGAAGAAGGCCUUCGGGUUGUAAAGCACUUUAGGUGGGGAAGAAAGGUAAUGAGUGAAUAACUGAUUGCUUUGACGGUACCCGCAGAAUAAGCACCGGCUAACUCUGUGCCAGCCGCCGCCGUAA